AAGCGACAAAGCCCGAGGAACCAUGGAGUACUCUGGCGCGGCGUAUCAUUUUUGCGGGAGAUGACCAAAUCGUUAAAAAGUCCAGCCCUAUUUGGAUCCGUGGAUCUGUUAUUUUUCCGCUCUUUUGAAGUAAACUUACAAGUGGUCUGUCUGGUGGCUGCCUUGCUUGCUUUCCAAGCAUGUCGUGACGUCAUGCACCGGCUUUCAGAAAAGCGAUUGUCCGUCUCCAGUCGCUGAAUCCGGCGGUGAUGAUGAUGAAUCGAUAACGAACAAAUGUUGAUGAUGAUGAUAAAUGACGAAGGAAAGACUGGGUCAUCCCCGCUCAUGAUCUCAUCUCAUUAGCGUUUUUUGUUUUUCUUCUCCUUUUUUCUUCCUCCGCGCAUCCGAUGGUUGUUGUUAAGGCGCGGGCGUUCAAGAACGGAGUGGGGCGGAAGAGGACUUAGCCCACCUGCGCGGCCCCACCCUGCAGCGCUGACCUCCUGACUCCUCCUCCUUCAUCUUGCCCCCUGACUUCUUGGUGCUGUGUGUGUUGGACCCUCGCACCGUACGUCCCGUGGCCGUGCUGCUGCCUCUGCCUCUGCCAUCCGUCCAACUGUGCAGCGAAGAAGAAAACAAAGAGGAGGAAGAAUGACGGAUCGCCGCGUCUUCUUCUUCCUCCUGGCUCUUGCCUGGGCCCACCUUACGCUUCCAGGCGACGGGAAGAGGGACGACAAGGAGAUCCGGGCGAGGUUCUACGGUAGCCUCUCCUACGAUGCGAAACCGCCGGAUCCCAAAGACGGAAGCAUCGCGAAGAUGAUCGAUCGCGUGCUCGAGAAAGAAUUCUCGGACAAGGACCAGCCCGAAGGAACUGAUAGAAGCAGUUUCAACAGCACCGUGGCAGAUCAACAAGCUGUAUUGGAGGAAGUAGCCAGAGUUACUCAUGAUAAAACCAAGAAAAAUGAAAUCCAGGAACCAAAUGGCACUAGGUCCUUCCAAAUUCAAGAUGUUUUUACCUUGGAAAAUGAGGGCUCUGAUGAGACGCCUACUUUGAUUGAUAAAAGGGACAAUGUCUUUGUUAUUUCUAACAAGAAGACAAAGUAUCCAAUGCUUCAGGUGGAUCUACGGUUCCUUUCAGACCUGGUAGUUGUAAUUGUUUCUGCAACAAUUGGUGGAAUUGUCUUUGCCUGCCUUGGGCAACCUGUGAUAACUGGUUAUCUCCUAGCAGGUUCUGUCAUUGGACCUGGGGGCCUGAGUUUUGUUAGCGAAAUAGUUCAGGUUGAAACUGUGGCACAGUUUGGUGUUGUCUUUCUUCUAUUUGCUUUGGGCCUUGAGUUCUCUUUAACAAAGUUAAAAGCCGUUGGUCCUGUUGCUAUAUUUGGUGGUCUGCUCCAGAUUGUCAUCUUCAUGUGUGUGUGUGGCAUGACUGCUUUGUUAUGCGGGGCAAAGAUGUCUGACGGCAUAUUUGUUGGUGCUUUUCUGUCAAUGUCAUCAACAGCUGUGGUGCUUAAGUUUUUGGUGGAGGGUGGUUCUGCUAAUGCUCUUCAUGGUCAGGUUGCUAUAGGAACACUUAUUUUUCAGGACUGUGUUGUUGGCCUAUUAUUUGCUCUGCUUCCAGUUUUAGGUGGCAAUAGUGGCCUUGUUCAAGGGAUCAUGUCCAUCGGAAAGCUGUUGCUCAUGCUGUCCAUUUUCCUGACUGCUGCAUCUAUAUUGUGUUGGUCAUUUCUUCCUCAUUUCUUGAAGUUGAUGAGUCAGUUGUCUUCGGAGACAAAUGAGCUUUAUCAGCUAACUUCUGUGGCCUUUUCCUUAUUGUUAGCUUGGUGCAGUGAUAAACUUGGCCUCAGUCUUGAAUUGGGGUCAUUUGUUGCUGGUAUUAUGAUAUCAACCACAGAUUUUGCUCACCACACAUUAGUGCAGGUGGAGCCCAUCAGAAACCUAUUUGCAGCACUUUUUCUUUCUAGCAUUGGAAUGCUUAUACAUGUCCAAUUCUUGUGGAGCCAUGUAGAUAUUUUGCUGGCAUCUGUGAUUCUUGUUAUUAUAUUAAAAACAGUAGUGACUGCUAUGGUGACCAAGGCCUUUGGCUAUCCUAUGAGAUCUUCUUUCAUGGUGGGUCUUUCUCUUGCACAAAUUGGAGAAUUUGCAUUUGUGCUUUUGAGUCAUGCUUCAAAUCUUCAUCUUGUUGAGGGGAAGAUAUAUCUUCUUCUUUUGGGAACAACAGCCCUCAGCCUGGUAAUCUUUCUUGACCCUCCUAUGAGUUGGGACUUAGUCGUCUGAUGUUGCAUGUGCAAAACCUUCACAAAGUACCUGCUUGAUCUGCCACUGUACUGCUGAUGGUCACAACCCCUCUUAUGUUCAAACUAAUUCCCAUAUUGAUGCAUCUGGGAGUACUCAUGCGUUGGUUUCCUUCAGAAAGCACACAGAGAGGAGAGAGCUUCCAUGAUUGAAGCACACAACAGAAAGUUGUGACCAAGAUAUGGAUCGUUUUGCUAGCUGCAUUGGGUCGCUGUACUCGGUUUCCUCAGCAGCGUCUACCCUUGAAGCGUAUGAUGGGCUGUCGUUUUGCUAAUCCCAUUCGUGGUCUUCUAAUUUCCGACCCAGUGUUUAAAUAAUCAUUCAGAUGCUCAUUAUAGCUGAACCCGAUAGCUCCUCGUACCAAAUUGUCUAUCCGAGCAUCAAUUCAGGAAAUUCUCUGUACAGUGCCCUAUAGUCGAUGGUUGCAGGUGAACAAAAACAUCAACUGAAUUGAUAGGUUUUCUGAAUUCAACACGAAUUCUUUUCUUCA